ensembl:lncRNA
GGGUAAGACCUCAAUAUUUGUCCUGGAUGCCGAUAUAAAAGGAAGUAAAGUUUGAAACAGAGGCAACUGUUUUGCCACUUCAAGAGGAGAGCUUGAAACUCUGGGGGCCACCUCGUAGACUUAGGGAUGAAGCCAGUACCAUAGAAGGCACAAUGGUAUGACUGGGAGAAAGUGUGUCUUCAGUGACGUGGAUCAUGCGUCACACGAACCUACCAUGCAUCCCGACCUCUGAGUUAUCAUGCUUCCUCUGAAAGUAACAGGAAACCCAACUCAAAAUGGAUUAAGAAAGUCCCCGUGGAAGAUAACAAACCCCCGAAUGAAGUCGACAAGCUUUGGCAUAGCUCAGACUUAGACUGAGGAAAGGAAGUGAAACUGACAAGAUGAGGGUUGCUGUAAACUUCAGGGCAGAAUGGAGUAACAUCUUAAUCAGUGGACAACACUUCUUCCACAGCCCUCGUUUUUAUUAAGGAAUGACAGUGGCACUAAAAGCAUCCCCCGCCUAGCACGAUCUGGAGUGAGAACCUCGCCACCUCUGUUCUUGCUUUCCCAUUCAUUAGGACCCUUUCCGAGCCUCCUUCCCCAGCAAAAACCGGGGAAUGCUUCGCGUGGUUACAAAAGGAGGGAGCGGCCGGCUUCCUAGCCUCACGCCUCAGAGAGUCAAGAACGUGCAGAUCUUUUGUCCCCGACCCCUUCCGCGGCUUGGUCGCGGGGGUGACGACCCCGCCCCACCCCCGCCUAAGC